rnacentral:tRNA from 1 species
GGGGGGGUGCCCGAGGGGCGAAAGGAGCACGCCUGAAAAGUGUGUAUACGGCACGGUAGGGGGGUUUCGAACCCCCCCCUCACCGCCA